rnacentral:misc_RNA from 1 species
AAGGAGCACCACGAAAAGCACUUCAAUUGGUGAAGUGCGAGCCGUGAGGGGUUCUCGUCUGUAGUGGACGAAAACCGGGUGCACAACAGCAAAUGAUUGCCAGACACACUAUUGGGCCCUGAGACAACACUCGGUCGAACCGUGUGGAGUCCCUCCAUCUUGGUGGUGGGGUGUGGUGUUUGAGUAUUGGAUAGUGGUUGCGAGCAUCUAGAUGAACGCGUGGUCUUCAUGGCCGGCGUGUUCAUCGAAAUGUGUAAUUUCUUCUUUGGUUUUUGUGUGU